rnacentral:rRNA from 1 species
CCCGCUGAACUUAAGCAUAUCAAUAAGCGGAGGAAAGGAAACUAACAAGGAUUCCCCUAGUAACUGCGAGUGAAGCGGGAAAAGCUCAAAUUUAAAAUCUGUCAGUCUUUGGCUGUCCGAGUUGUAAUCUAGAGAAGUGUUAUCCGCGCUGGACCGUGUACAAGUCUCCUGGAAUGGAGCGUCAUAGAGGGUGAGAAUCCCGUCUUUGACACGGACUGCCAGGGCUUUUGUGAUGCGCUCUCAAAGAGUCGAGUUGUUUGGGAAUGCAGCUCAAAAUGGGUGGUAAAUUCCAUCUAAAGCUAAAUAUUGGCGAGAGACCGAUAGCGAACAAGUACCGUGAGGGAAAGAUGAAAAGAACUUUGGAAAGAGAGUUAAACAGUACGUGAAAUUGCUGAAAGGGAAACGCUUGAAGUCAGUCGCGUCAUCCAGGGAUCAACCUUGCUUUUGCUUGGUGUACUUUCUGGUUGACGGGUCAGCAUCAAUUUUGACCAUUGGAAAAAGAUUAAGGGAAUGUGGCAUACAUAGUGAUGUGUUAUAGCCCUGGGUCGCAUACAUCGGCUGGGAUUGAGGAACUCAGCACGCCGCAAGGCCGGGUACUUGUACCACGUACGUGCUUAGGAUGCUGGCAUAAUGGCUUUAAUCGACCCGUCUUGAAACACGG